CAAUGAACUGCGUGUCAUUUUGAGUGGCGUGAUCCGCAAGAAAAAAUUCGAAGAGUUACACUCGGUACGUAAUUGGAAAACAAGGUCGCUCCGGGAGCUAGAUAAUGAUGCGGGGCCGGCAUAUGUUGCAGCGACGCUUUUCGAGAAAAGUGGCCCAACUUGCGUGAAAGGUGCACCGCUGGACACGUCAUGUGACGGGCGAAUAUCGGGCGGUGGCACCAGAUUACAUAAACAAUAAUCGAUGCACGAUUAAAAUACAAUUCGAUUUUCAAUUUAUAAAUAAACAUAAGGCUAUUUUUGAAUAAAAUGCAAAAAACAUGAA